UCGCUGUGAAGAUGCAGUGUACCCGCGGCAAGACGGAAAGACCCCGUGAACCUUUACUAUAGCUUGACACUGAACAUUGAGCCUUGAUGUGUAGGAUAGGUGGGAGGCUUUGAAGUGUGGACGCCAGUCUGCAUGGAGCCGGCCUUGAAAUACCACCCUUUAAUGUUUGAUGUUCUAACGUUGGCCCCUGAUCGGGGUUGCGGACAGUGUCUGGUGGGUAGUUUGACUGGGGCGGUCUCCUCCUAAAGAGUAACGGAGGAGCACGAAGGUUGGCUAAUCCUGGUCGGACAUCAGGAGGUUAGUGC
rnacentral:rRNA from 1 species